CGUUCAAACACCUGUUUCCAUAUGAUCACCAAAGUUAAGCAACAUCGAGCCUGGUUAGUACCGAGAUGGGUGACUUAUGGUGAAUAGCAUGUGCUGUAU